rnacentral:rRNA from 1 species
CAGUAGCCGCGGUAAUACGAAGGGGGCUAGCGUUGUUCGGAAUUACUGGGCGUAAAGGGCGCGUAGGCGGCCAUUCAAGUUAGAUGUGAAAGCCCUGGGCUCAACCUAGGAAUUGCAUUUGAUACUGUUUGGCUUGAGUUCGGGAGAGGUGAGUGGAAUUCCCAGUGUAGAGGUGAAAUUCGUAGAUAUUGGGAAGAACACCAGUGGCGAAGGCGGCUCACUGGACCGACACUGACGCUGAGGCGCGAAAGCGUGGGAGCAAACAGGAUUAGAUACCCCCGUAGUCCCUGUCUCUUAUACA